AGGAUAAACGCUGGCGGCGUGCAUAACACAUGCAAGUCGAACGAUGAAACUUAGAUGAUUUCUUCGGAAUGAACUUAAGCGGAUUAGUGGCGAACGGGUGAGUAACACGUGAGUAACCUGCCUUACACAAGGGGAUAGCCUUUGGAAACGAAGAAUAAUACCCUAUAACGUCAAUUUAUCGCAUGAUAGAAUGACCAAAGAUUUAUCGGUGUAAGAUGGACUUGCGUCUGAUUAGCUAGUUGGUGAGAUAAAGGCCCACCAAGGCAACGAUCAGUAGCCGGCUUGAGAGAGUGUACGGCCACAUUGGGACUGAGACACGGCCCAAACUCCUACGGGAGGCAGCAGUGGGGAAUUUUGCACAAUGGGGGAAACCCUGAUGCAGCGACGCCGCGUGAUUUAGAAGGCCUUCGGGUUGUAAAAAUCUUUUUUAUGGGAUGAAAAUGACAGUACCAUAAGAAUAAGGUCCGGCUAAAUACGUGCCAGCAGCCGCGGUAAUACGUAUGGACCGAGCGUUGUCCGGAAUCAUUGGGCGUAAAGGGUACGUAGGCGGCCCAGUAAGUUAGAAGUGAAAUAAUAUAGCUCAACUAUAUAAAGCUUUUAAAACUGCUAGGCUUGAGAGAUGGAAGGGAAAGUGGAAUUCCUAGUGUAGCGGUGAAAUGCGCAGAUAUUAGGAAGAAUACCGGUGGCGAAGGCGACUUUCUGUCAUCAUCUGACGCUGAGGUACGAAAGCGUGGGUAGCAAACAGGAUUAGAUACCCUGGUAGUCCACGCUGUAAACGAUGAGUGUUAGGUUCUUGGAAUAAUCUGGGAGCCGCAGCUAACGCAUUAAACACUCCGCCUGGGGAGUACGCACGCAAGUGUG
rnacentral:rRNA from 1 species